rnacentral:lncRNA from 1 species
UUAUGAACAUCUGUUUAAUAGUUUAAUCUCUAAAACGGCUAAAGUAGAUAUAUUUUUAAUGAAUAAUUAGAUUUAUCAUUAUAUAAUUAACUAUAAUAAUAAUAAAACUAUCAUUUUCUAUUUUUUUGUUUAUUAAAUGUAAACUUAUGAAAUAUUUCGAUAAGUCAAUGUAUAUAUUUAUCAAGUAAGCCAAUGAAAUAUUAUCAUUAUCUCAAUUGUUUUUUUAAGUUUUCUUCUAAAUUAUCAUUGAACUUUAUUUUUUAUUUACUUUUUAUUUAUUUUAUUUUUACUUGGAUUUGUGUGUUUCAAUGUUUUUUGGUAAUUUAAUACAUUUCUCUGGUUCAAAAAUACAAAGUAAAUUAAGAAAGACCAAAAGUUCACAUUCUUCGUUGUCCAAAAGAGAAGUUCACAUUCUUA